rnacentral:tRNA from 2 species
GCCCAGGUGGCGAAAUUGGUAGACGCACCAGAUUUAGGUUCUGGCGCCGAAAGGCGUGGGGGUUCGAGUCCCUUCCUGGGCACCA